rnacentral:rRNA from 1 species
AUUGAACGCUGGCGGCAGGCCUAACACAUGCAAGUCGAGCGGAUGAAGGGAGCUUGCUCCUGGAUUCAGCGGCGGACGGGUGAGUAAUGCCUAGGGAUCUGCCUGGUAGUGGGGGAUAACGUCCGGAAACGGGCGCUAAUACCGCAUACGUCCUGAGGGAGAAAGUGGGGGAUCUUCGGACCUCACGCUAUCAGAUGAGCCUAGGUCGGAUUAGCUAGUUGGUGGGGUAAAGGCCUACCAAGGCGACGAUCCGUAACUGGUCUGAGAGGAUGAUCAGUCACACUGGAACUGAGACACGGUCCAGACUCCUACGGGAGGCAGCAGUGGGGAAUAUUGGACAAUGGGCGAAAGCCUGAUCCAGCCAUGCCGCGUGUGUGAAGAAGGUCUUCGGACUGUAAAGCACUUUAAGUUGGGAGGAAGGGCAGUAAGUUAAUACCUUGCUGUUUUGACGUUACCAACAGAAUAAGCACCGGCUAACUUCGUG